rnacentral:rRNA from 1 species
UACGGAGGGUGCAAGCGUUGUCCGGAAUUACUGGGCGUAAAGAGCUCGUAGGUGGUUUGUCGCGUUGUUCGUGAAAUCUCACGGCUUAACUGUGAGCGUGCGGGCGAUACGGGCAGACUAGAGUACUGCAGGGGAGACUGGAAUUCCUGGUGUAGCGGUGGAAUGCGCAGAUAUCAGGAGGAACACCGGUGGCGAAGGCGGGUCUCUGGACAUUUCCUGACGCUGAGGCACGAAAGCCAGGGGAGCAAACGGG